rnacentral:rRNA from 1 species
UGGGUAAUCUUUGAACGUGAAUCGUGCUGGGGAUAGAUGAUUGCAAUUAUUCAUCUUCAACGAGGAAUUCCUAGUAAACGCAAGUCAUCGGCUUGCAUUGAUUACGUCCCUGCCCUUUGUACACACCGCCCGUCGCACCUACCGAUUGAAUGGUCCGGUGAAAUCUUCGGAUCUGAGAGAUGUUGGAUUAAUUUCUGACGCCUUUUGGAAAAGUCGCUUAAACCUUAUCAUUUAGAGGAAGGUGAAGUCGUAACAAGGUUUCCGUAGGUGAACCUGCGGAAGGAUCAUUA